rnacentral:tRNA from 1 species
GCGCCGGUGGUGUAAGGCGAACAUCGCUGCCCGGAAAGGGAAGAUGCGGGUUCGAGUCCCGCCUGGCGCA